rnacentral:rRNA from 1 species
AGUGAACGCUGGCGGUAGGCCUAACACAUGCAAGUCGAACGGCAGCACAGUAAGAGCUUGCUCUUACGGGUGGCGAGUGGCGGACGGGUGAGGAAUACAUCGGAAUCUACUUUUUCGUGGGGGAUAACGUAGGGAAACUUACGCUAAUACCGCAUACGACCUACGGGUGAAAGCAGGGGAUCUUCGGACCUUGCGCGAUUGAAUGAGCCGAUGUCGGAUUAGCUAGUUGGCGGGGUAAAGGCCCACCAAGGCGACGAUCCGUAGCUGGUCUGAGAGGAUGAUCAGCCACACUGGAACUGAGACACGGUCCAGACUCCUACGGGAGGCAGCAGUGGGGAAUAUUGGACAAUGGGCGCAAGCCUGAUCCAGCCAUACCGCGUGGGUGAAGAAGGCCUUCGGGUUGUAAAGCACUUUUGGUGGGAAAGAAAAGCAGCAGGUUAAUACCCCGCUGUUCUGACGGUACCAAAAGAAUAAGCACCGGCCAACUUCGUG